GUAACGAGCGCAACCCUUGUCCUUAGUUACCAGCACGUUAUGUGGGCACUCUAAGGAGACUGCCGGUGGACAAACCGGAGGAAGUGGGGAUGACGUCAAGUCAUCAUGGCCCUUACGGCCUGGGCUACACACGUGCUACAAUGGUCGGUACAAAGGGUUGCCAAGGCCGCGAGGUGGAGCUAAUCCCAUAAAACCGAUCGUAGUCCGGAUCGCAGUCUGCAACUCGACUGCGUGAAGUCGGAAUCGCUAGUAAUCGUGAAUCAGAAUGUCACGGUGAAUACGUUCCCGGGCCUU
rnacentral:rRNA from 1 species